UGUGUACUCCCUCCAUUCCAAAAUACUUGACUUCAAUUUUUCCAAAAAUGGAUGUACCUAUAUACUAAAAUAUGUCUAGAUACAUCUAUAUUUUGACAAAUAGAAGGCAUGUAUUGUGGAACGGAGGGAGUAGAAU
rnacentral:pre_miRNA from 1 species